rnacentral:rRNA from 1 species
GAUGAACGCUAGCGGGCAGGCCUAACACAUGCAAGUCGAGGGGCAUCGCGGUGCAGCAAUGCACUGGCAGCGACCGGCGUACGGGUGCGUAACGCGUAUGCAACCUGCCCCGCACCGGGGGAUAGCCCGCCGAAAGGCGGAUUAAUACCCCAUGGUCCCGGGGGCCCGCAUGGGCAUCCGGGUAAAGCCUUGGCGGUGCGGGAUGGGCAUGCGUGCCAUUAGCUGGCUGGUGGGGUAACGGCCCACCAGGGCAACGAUGGCUAGGGGGUCUGAGAGGAUGGUCCCCCACACUGGUACUGAGACACGGACCAGACUCCUACGGGAGGCAGCAGUGAGGAAUAUUGGUCAAUGGGCGGAAGCCUGAACCAGCCAUGCCGCGUGCGGGAUGAAGGCCCUACGGGUUGUAAACCGCUUUUCCCCGGGAAGAAUAAGCCCCCCGCGGGGGGUGAUGCCGGUACCGGGGGAAUAAGGAUCGGCUAACUCCGUG